AGCUAUCUAUCAGAGAACAAUGAUGUUGACAAACUUCACAGAGUAGGACCCAGCAGGGUUGCAGUGUUCAGAAGGACAGGGGGCUGACAAGGGGGGCACGUGGGUUUAGAUUUAGCUCUGCCGCUUACCUACCUGGAAUCUGAAUUUCCCCAUCUGUAAAAUAAGGGAGUUAGUUUUAAAAUCUAGUCACUAGGUCUCCAAGGCCUCCACCCAUAGUAAGAUCCUAUGAUUCUAGGGCUCAGUUAAGAAAUAAAAGGAUUAACCUUCCCCACCUCCCAUCAUGCGCAAGACAGAAAAUGCUGAAGCCAGAGGGUCUCAGCUGAGCCUUUGGGAGGAGCAAGUAUUCUACUCUGUGACAUCACAAUAUCCAGCCCAGGCCCAGCUGUGGCUACUGAGUAGAAGGUUAACAGAAGGUUCAGCUAUUGAUAUAUUAGAGGUGGGACGCUACCUGACAGAGCUAGAAGGAAUCAGCCAGCCAUGCCUCCAGUUCAGUCUCCAGUCCUUUCCCUCCAUGGAACUUGAGACAGAUUUCACAUGCUCUCCAGAAAUAUGCAUAUAUGAACGUGUGUAAGUAUGUAUUAUGCAUACGUCUCCCUCUCUCUCUGUUAAAGUUCCCAGAUCACCUAGGUAUUCAAUAAACCUUGGUAAAUAGAUGUCUGUACCUCUAUUGUUCCUGAUAGUCUCCAUACUAUUUUUUCCUAAGAAUUAUUGGGCAUUUUAUUCUCUA
rnacentral:lncRNA from 1 species